rnacentral:lncRNA from 1 species
AAGGCUUUUCACUUUCCAUUUUUUCAAGGACACUUUUCCCUAUGACACCCCUGUGGUUUGUGUUUGGGGAGCUAUGUGUGCUUGCACGAUUUCAUCUUGUUAUAACUGAGAUGAAAACUUUUGUUCUCCAUGUUCUAACAUUCAAAUAAAAUUUAUUUAUUUAUUUAUUUUUGUCUUUUUAGGCCCGCACCCACGGCAUAUGGAGGUUCCCAGGCUAGGGGUCCAAUUGGAGCUGUGGCCACCCGCCUGCACCACAGCCACAGCAACACGGGAUCCGAGCCGCGUCUGCGACCUACACCGCAGGUCACGGCAACGCCGGAUCCUUAACCCACCGAGUGAGGCCAGGGAUCGGACCCACAUCCUCGUGGAUGCUAGUCCGGUUUGCUAACCACUGAGCCACAGCAGGAACUCCUCCAUCAAACUCAUCUUAAAGCAGCCCCUUUCCUAGCCAGGCAAAUCAGAGAAACUGUAAAAUACCUCACCUUGAUUUUUGACAUUUAUCUGUAGUUUUCUGUCGUUUUCAGCAUCAAAAGUGCUAUUAAUGUCAAUGGUUAUAGUGGUCAUUACCUCCACUGCACUCCUUCUCCGCCCGAGGAGGUGAGAGCAUUUUUUUAUCCCAUAGAAGUAUGUUAAAGUACAUAGUUAAAGUGGAUUUUAAGAUAUCACUUAAAUACCUCCCUAGCCCUAAAUAUUACAGAAAAAUGUAGUGUGUCAUAUAUCAUAAUAUAUAAUAUAUUAUGUGUUGUAUAUUAGUAUAGAAAUAGAUUGUACAUGAUAUAUAAUUUUCAAUUAUAAAUAUUCAAAUAGCAUCAGAAUACCAUGAACAAACUUUCCGUUGAAACUAAUUUUGGAGCAGAAAUGAAAACACUAGGGCGCAGAAUUCCCUGGCAAUUGACUUGUUGAACAGACAGUUACAAGUAGAAUAUCUCACAAGGAAAACUAGCAUCUUAGUGGCAUUCUCUGCGAGGCCACAGGCGUCAAGGUUACCGGGCUGAAACCUCAGGGAAAAUGGGUUGGAUCCAACUCUGUCCUUCCUCCUUUCAGGAUCCUUUUAAAAUAAGUGCAGGCUCGUUCUUGGACACUGGAGUUGAACAAAGGGAAGAGAAUGUCCAGAGUGGAAUUUUCUAUGCGGAGUCUAAGUCGUCUCGUUCAAUUUGUCUUUGGAAACGGAGCUCCUCCCUUUCCCGGGUGCUCAGCGGUGUUUAAUAUUCCGGACCGCAGGCUUCCCUGCUACCCUCUCUUUCUGUUUACCGUGGCCCCGCCCCGGAGAGGCAGAGUGCCCUGGCCACAGUCAACACUUAUAUAUUGAAAAUAUCGAUUACACGGGACGCUCUUCUUCUUCAAACAAAGUAAUGCCAGUGACUUCAAUCACUUUCCUGAUUUAUUUUAUUUCAGAGCCUUUGGAUCCUUUGGUUCCCAUAUCAUCUAUCGGUUCUCUGCUGCCUCUUCACCUCUAGUAAUGAAAACUAGGCUACGUGGCCUGCUGAGCCUAGAGCUUCCCGGGCAGCACGAUUGAUUACCCUCCGCUUCUGCUGGCGGGGGAGCCCUGGGCCUUCAAGGGGGGGGCCACAACCAGCAGCGUCAGGGUCUCCUGGCAACAGGCUUAAAAUGCAGAGUCUCAGGCCCCAGCCCACACCCUCUGACUCGGAAGCUUGGGGGUGAGCCCUGCCGUCUUUUUAACCCUCCUGAUGACUCUGAUGCCUCCUUGAGCCGGAGAGCCGUGCCGUGCAGCUCUGCCCGAAUCCUGACACCCAGCGGAUGUAACUAAGCAUUGAAAUCUCAGCAGGACCAGGGCCUCUCGGGCGUUUCUGCUGCCUGUGCUCUGAUGGAUGAUUCCAGUUCGUGGCCUGCUGCCUUGCACUGAUCACCGUGGCACUGGUCACCGUUUCUGAGGUUCUUUUCUAAUUCGUCAGGCUCAGUUGAACUCCUGCCCCUUCCAUCAGGAGCGUAUCACUGUCAUCCAGCACAUAGGUGCUGCUAGAUGAUGGCUUAAUGCAGGUAGAGAAAGUUUAAUGAGAGGGGAAAAGUCCAACCAGACCUCUUUCUUUCUUUUUCUUUCUUUCUUUCUUUCUUUCUUUCUUUCUUUCUUUUUCUUUUUUUUUUUUGGCCAAGCACAAGGCAGGUGCAAGUUCCCAGGCCAGGGACUGAACCCGAGUUACAGCAAUG